AACGUAGGACACAAGCGUUAUCCGGAAUUACUGGGCGUAAAGGGAGUGCAGGCGGUUGCGUAAGGUAGGCGUGAAAGACUUCGGCUAAACCGGGGGAGGUCGUCUGAUACUGCGUAACUAGAGUGUGGUAGAGGCGUGUAGAAUUCCGGGUGUAGUGGUGAAAUGCGUAGAGAUCCGGAGGAAUACCAGUGGCGAAGGCGGCACGCUGGGCCAUGACUGACGCUAAGACUCGAAAGCAUGGGUAGCGAACGGG
rnacentral:rRNA from 1 species